GGGGCUAUAGCUCAGCCGGGAGAGCGCUUGCAUGGCAUGCAAGAGGUCGGCGGUUCGAUCCCGCCUAGCUCCACCA
rnacentral:tRNA from 3 species